GACGAACGCUGGCGGCGUGCUUAACACAUGCAAGUCGAACGGAAAGGCCCUGCUUUUGUGGGGUGCUCGAGUGGCGAACGGGUGAGUAACACGUGAGUAACCUGCCCUUGACUUUGGGAUAACUUCAGGAAACUGGGGCUAAUACCGGAUAGGAGCUCCUGCUGCAUGGUGGGGGUUGGAAAGUUUCGGCGGUUGGGGAUGGACUCGCGGCUUAUCAGCUUGUUGGUGGGGUAGUGGCUUACCAAGGCUUUGACGGGUAGCCGGCCUGAGAGGGUGACCGGCCACAUUGGGACUGAGAUACGGCCCAGACUCCUACGGGCGGCAGCAGUGGGGAAUAUUGCACAAUGGGCAGAAGCCUGAUGCAGCAACGCCGCGUGCUGGAUGACGGCCUUUGGGUUGUAAACCGCUUUCGCCUGUGACGAAGCGUGAUUGACGGUAGUGGGUAAGUUAGGAGCGGCUAACUACGU
rnacentral:rRNA from 1 species